AUUCUGGUACAGAGCUGGGAAAAUCACUUCAGUGGGCCUGGUGUUGUUUUGCUCUGGGCUAGGGACUCUGGGGUUUUAUUAAUGGGGUGCAGAUGAGAAACACACACAGUUCAGUUUUGAUGCAUAUUAUACAUGGUGCUAAGCUGACCCUUGACAUUUGCAGUAUCUGUACCUUAGUCCAGUAUCUUACGUCAGAUCACGAACACCACUUCAAAGACUUGUGGCUUUGCUUUAACUUUGAACAGAGUGGGCUGCAAUUUUGGAUCUGCAUAGAGGAUUCAAAUCUGGAUUUGUGAGCUUGAUGUGUCAUUUUUUCCCUCCGUGUCUCUCAGCAGUUAUCUCGUUGUAUCAUCUUGUUAUCCCAUGACAACGAUGCAAUUAAGAGCCUUGUGACCGGCUUUGGAGAGGGAAGAAAAAAAAUCACUGCUGUUUCUGAAACUUCUGAAGGGCAACAUGGAAACUCCCAUGAAUUCUGCUGCAUUUGCUUCAGAAUGUAUUUAUCGUUCUGUUAUUUUUAAGCUAGUAUUUUAUAACUCUCCGUUAACACGUCAAAAAUGUUACUGUUGCUCUAAGUUCUAAAUUAGAAUUGAUGAACGUUUCCUCACCCCCAAUAUGUGUCCCACACUAGUCAAGAUGAAUCUUCAUUUUCUUGAUGUGUAAGGAAUAUAUUCCUUCUCUCACACAUUGGAAAACUAGUCCUUUCCUAAGGUAAGUGUUGAAUACUCCUGCUAUGUAAUGGAGGUGCCAGGAAGUAUACAACAGGCAGCCUGCCAAUACGUUAUCCGCCAUUUAUUCUCAGGGUGCCUGGCACCACAGCUAAAGCAGGGCAAGAUUGUGAUCUACCAUGUGUAGGUGUGCAUGAGAGUGGGGAAAGGACACAAAGAGCCUCUCCCUCUCCUAGCAACCCUUCACAGGGACAGUGCCUGGAGAACCUCCAAAAGACAUGAUGUUAGCUGCAUGCACAGCAGCAUUGCCUUCUCCAAGGCUUUAUCUUGACACCGAAAUAGGUGGUGGUGCCUCCCAGAACUUUAACCGGGAAUUGUUUAACACAAUAUCCACUGCAGCCUUUUUUCCUAGUCAAGCUAAGGCGCACAUGGGGGACGGAAGGACAAAGAUAGAGGUGUGUCCAUCCACUGCUUCCCUGCACUUGCUAGCAGAGCUGGCCCUAGAUGGGGAGUGCGCCUUGCACUCUUUGAAAGGGUGCAACAACAGUCAUGCUCCCCCUGUGUGCCUCAGCGCUUGGGGCAGGGCAGGAGAGGGUUCUGUGCUUGCCUCAGAGCUAAUGCUGCCAAACACUUCUGCUGGGGUAAUGAACCUCUAUAUAGCACCCCAUUGAGUGCCUGUGUUUUAAAGGCAUAAUACCUUAUAGUUGGUUGAUAGUUGGCGAAAUACUAGCCAUAUUCAGUUUAAAAUAUAUAAAUCUGCUGUUUCAUUGCACUUGUGGGUUACCCAUAUUCCAUGUCUUCUUCUAGCAUUCUGCAUCCGCUGCGCUAUUUGGAGCUACAAAUCUUAGAGGUUUAAGUUGUAGUUCUGGAUGGAGGGAAAUAUCUCUCUAGAUCUAGGAGUGAAAUUCUUUUUAUCCAAUCCAGUAACAUAUAUGCCUUCUGGUCCAUAUGAAUUCUAUGUCGAAUUUAUCCAGUAUCUUCAAAUAGUGUCUCAUUGAUAGGAAUGAAUAAACCAGUUUAUUUAGAUAAAAUAACCGGCCUGCACCUUCCUCCAAAACUUGAACUGAGCACAAAUCUCUUUUGAAGAGUUUGAAAAGUGUUUUCCACCCCCUCUCAUAUAACUGUUUUUCCUGAUUUUGAGAUGUAGGCUUGCAGCAGAAAUACCUGAAUUCUGCAACAAAGGUUAUUCUUGUGGUGUUUCUGGCUAGGCUGCAAUCCAGGACAACUAGAAAACUCGCAUUAAGCUCCUGUUCUCAAGAUAUUUCCACACUGGUUUUCAAACCAAAGAAUGUCUCUUAUAUGGCCACAUUUCUGGAUGUUUAUCUGAAUCAAGGUCCUGGGCAUCUUGCUGUUUGGCCAAUAUAAUUCAGAGUCCUACUAAUUACAUUUUCUUCAGCAUAACAUCUGCCAUUGCAUGCAUGCUCAAUGCCUAUGGCAAAUUAGCCAGUCCAAAGAAUGGUGCUGGUAUCAUUCUGGCCCCUCCUUUUCCCUUCUACAAGCCCUUUAGUCUUUGUUCAGCACAAUCAGUCCGUGCUAGCACACCGUGGGAGUGUGACAAAGCAGAGUUGAGGCAGUGGUUCCAGCAGGAAAUCACAGAGCUUGCUCUUCAAUUUACUUACAGUAAAUAUAGGCGGAAGAUUAAUGUUGAGUAAGAGGUCAAUGAGAGUAGUCAAAGAUUUCAAAUGUCUAUCCCUUUUAUCCCUCAUGUUUGUUAACUUCGUUUUCUUUUCAUCAAGGCUUCCAUCAGUCUGUCUCCAACUGGCUUAGUUCCAGAAGAACACCCAGUCCUAGCCUCUGAAAGACAUAAUUUACAGCCUCACAAACUUACAAUGAAAAAGACCUAGGGAAAAUGUUGCCACCUAGGAGCAGUGAUGUACUGGGGGAGUAAGUCCACAGCCCACUUGAUGGUAUUUAUAUGCAUUAUGCCUUUGAAAAAAGUAAGUGGCACUGGAGACACAUGCCAGAAGCAGCACUUGCUGCACCCUUGAAAAGAUGUAAGACAGCAGAGACUUGCCAGAGCACAGGACUGUGGAGAAAUAUUUGUUUUAAAGUGUAUUAAAGAAUUUUUUUAAAGGAAAACUGAGAAAGACUCAUCCAGACUUUGCAAUCAGAGGUCAGUAUAUUCAACUCUACUAACCUGGGCACUGGAGAGCAGAAAGCAGUGGACAGCUUUGGAGAGGUGGGCACAAAGAGGGGACCCUGGAAUCCUUGGGGCAUGGAGGUUUUGCCCUUCUGCUUCUCCAAAGGGAACCUGCUGGUAUUUCCAGGUCCCUCCCUGGGGAUUUGCUCUAAGAUGAUUCAAGAGGACAACUCAGAAAAAGAAAGAAGGGGCAAAAAUCUGGGAUUUCCUACAGGAAGACAAAAGUACUCAGGAAGCUCUAUGUACUUCUUUUUUUAAUAAUAAAGGAAUGUGUUUAAAGAA